GUUGAGAUGGCCGAGUUGGUCUAAGGGACCAUUAAAGUUCUGGUCCGAAAGGGCGUGGGUUCAAAUCCCACUCUCAACA
rnacentral:tRNA from 1 species